GGCAGGGUGGCCGAGUAGGCGGCGAGUUGUAGCCUCGUGUACGGAAAUCAAUAGCCCCCUGUUA
rnacentral:tRNA from 1 species